rnacentral:lncRNA from 1 species
AUGUCUAGAAGACAUUCUCUUCCUCUCCCUCCUGCUUCUUUGUUCAUUCUCAAGAAUAGGCUAGAAACUGGAGUGCUAAUUGGGAUCUGUUUGCCUGUAGGAGAAUCAUUGGCCCCUGUGGUUUAUCAUUCUUCUCUUCCGUUAUCCUCUCAUGACCUACGGCUGUGCAUCCACAAUAUGGGUAUUUACAAGUCGAGAAGGGGGUGGACCACAGAGAGAUCAAGACCUUCAAAGUCCAGCUUACUAAAAGACUUCUCUUUUGAGGCAUGGAGAUAUCUCAGCUAUCAGAAAAAAAAAAUGAAGCUGAAGGAGGAGUGGUCAGCCAAACCAGGUAGAGCUCGACCUUCUGAGGGCAUGCUGCCUCCUUCCAUGCUGUCCCCACUGAGGUUAGAGGACCAGUUUUCCUUCAGACAUGGCCACCUCUGAUCAUCUGACUGAAAAAGUUCUUUGGCUCAGUCCAGCUGUACAAACCACGGAGGUGAUUGAGAAAGACAUUUAUCUAAGAGAAGUUGAGAAUAUUAUGGAUAAUAUGAAGGUAUAUUAUUAUGUACAAUAACAUAUAUAAUGUAGAGGAAGUGUGAUUGACUGGGAAGAGAAAAGCAAAAUAACUGCAGUAUUUCAGAAAAUAUCACACUCCUUUAUUUGGCAAAACACUGUUUUCUACCAAAAUAGCCUCAUUCCAUACUUCCUUGAAUAUGUUUAAUGAGAUUGUUUCUGAAAUUUGCUCAAUUUAAGGUUUACCUCUAAACACCUUUUAAAGAUUACUGUCAGAUUUGGGGAAAUUAACUUAAAUACACUUUUUCUUUGACAAUUAAACAGAGUCAGAUACCCCUGAGAAUUCCUCAAACUUGUAUUUCUAGCUCUUUUUUCUCUUUCCUUACAUAAUAAAGUAUAGCCAUUAUCUUUUCCA